AAUGCAUAUUCAGUUGUAUGUGGGAUAGUUGUAUUAUGUAAAGUGGAGUUAUGACCUUGUUAUUGUGUUUAUUUGGAGAUUAAAUAUGAUUUAAAGAGAUGUGAAUGAAUGCCAAGCUGAGAAGGGAUGUAUUUUGUUGACUAGGACAAUGGGGUGCCCAGACAUUUGGCUGAACAUUGUUUUGGGUGUGUCUGUGAAGGGUUUAUAGAUGAAAUUAACAUUUGAAUCAGUAGGGCGAGUGAAGCAGUUUGAUC
rnacentral:lncRNA from 10 species